ACGGCAUUGCAUGGAAAUCACCUACGCUAAAUAUAGAGAUGAAGGUGUGGUUCUAGAACAGUCAUCUAGUCACUGGCAGUAUGGUUGGCAUUUGAAAGGGCAAUGAAUGCUUUUUGGUGUGUUUUUUGCUCAACAUGUUUACUUGGUCACUGUAUAGUAUGUCUUCCUACCAGUUGUGGUGAUGGAUAUAUACAAAGAUAUUUUUGGACAGAACAGACAGAAAGUCACUAUAUUUGCUGCAGAAUUCUGACAGAGAAUUGCCAACAAGGAUACAGAGUAAAAACAUGCAAAGAAAAUUUCAGACAAGAUUCCUGUGAAGAAUGUCCUAAAGGACAGUAUUUAGCAGAUCGAACAAAUUCAACGAAUAUACACGCUUGUGUUCAUUACAGUUGCUCAUUAGAAUCAAGACAAGUAGACUACUUAACACAGACAGGAUGUCAUAAACCUUGUAUAUGUAAUACAGACCUAAACUUUUAUGGUUUUGAUAGUUGUAAUUGUUUGCCAUUUAAUGGUAAAUGUAUACCUGGAACAGUAUUAGCUCUAAAUGGAUCCUGUCUUACAGCUGAGGAAGCUGUAGCCGUCGAAAGUUUAACAAAAUCUGAUAUUUCAGUGCAUAUUCCUAUACCUAUAGAGGAAACUACAGCAGGCAAUAAAACAGAUGAUAACAUAUAAAAUGAUGGCAGUUUAAAUUACGAGAGGUGGAUUAUAACAGGUUGUAGUUUAGGAGCUUUGGUUGUAAUAUUGGUUAUAGUUUGUUGUAUCUGUCAAUACAAAAGAAGUCGUCAUAAAGAUUCAAGUUUUAUAGGAGAUCAAACUAUUCAUAUUAAAGUAGAUAAAAUAGAAACUAAUGAACAAGAAGAUAAUAUUACAGAACACCGUCCAGUGAUUAAAAAGUCUUCCAUUGCAACAAUAUCAUCCGAUUCAGGAGUUUCUUCUGCUCAAACAAACUCCAAAGAAUCUGUAAGCACAGAUUCUGAUAGGUCUUCCAGAAAAGUGGCAGCAAUACACCCAUAUCACCAUAGUGAAGAUAAAGAAUUAAACAUUCAUUUACUCGAUGAACGGAAUCACAGAUUGUCUUCCUCAUCAGAUGCUAUUUUGUUAAACAGACCUCAAUUUGAUCUCGACCAUGCUGAUACAACUCAGGAUUAUUUUGAACCUCAAACUCCACUCCAUCAUAGUUUCCCAACUCUAUUCACCAACUCAGAAGGCAACUUGACACAAAUAGAGUCUUAAUGAUCAAUUAAGCUUGUGGAUUUAAAAAAAAAAAAGAAACACAAGUAAUCAAAAUGUCAAUUUUAAAUGUUUUUUUUUAUACUGACUGUAUAACAUCUGUAUUGUUAUGUUUUAAGUGUUAAAGGGCCAUAUUAGCAACGAGAUAGAAAACAAAGAUUAAGAUAUGAUUUUAUUAUUUUACAAUCAGUAAUAAAAAAGAAAUAAUGAUUUGCUUUAAGCAGCAAAUGAGUUAAUGAGUCAACAAAGGUCAUAGCGUGCUCUAAAUUUGACUCAAACUUAAGUUUAUUACCAAAUUUUUGUUAAAAUUUUACCUCACAUGACCAAGGUAAAGAAGAAGUUUGAAAAUUAAUGCCAAAAAGAAACAAUAGUCACAUUAGACAAGCUAUUUAUGUUAUAAAAGUAUGAUGGAAUGAGAAUAUUUUGAACAUUUCUUAACUUCCCUUGUUUUGUAUACAAAAGUGUAAGACAAACUAACUUUAGUAAGUAAUUACUUUAUAUUCCAUGGGAUCAUGUUGAUAUUAAGAAAGCUUCUCUACGAUUUACUCUUGCAAUAUGUUUGAACAUGAUUGUAAAAAAAAAUGUUGAAAAUGAAUACUAGUAGUAGUUUGUAUUCUAUCCUUUAGUGGGAAGUUUCACAAAAAAUCUUAAUGAGAAAAACAUCUUGUAAGUCAUUAUCAUUAUUAUCCUUUUCAGUUUAAUUUAAAACAAUCAUUAUUUAUGAAAGAUUUUUUGUAAAAAGAAAAGGUUUUACACUAGUAAUUGUGGGGUUGAUAGCUUAUUGUUCGGUGUGAGCCAAGGCUUCAUGUUGAAGGCCAUACCUUGACCUAUAAUGGUUUACUUUUUUCAAAAUUGUUUUUUGGAUGAAGAGUUGUCUCAUUGGCACUCACACCACAUCUUCCUAUCUACUUAGCUUUUGACAGUUUUAUGCAACUUCUUAAAAAUUUCAAUUUCUAACAACUAAAACUAUAGAGUUGAAAAAAGCAUUAAGAUCUUGUCUUUCUGGGGUACAUUAUACUUUUAUACUCAAACAUCCAUAAUCCUGAUAAUUAAAAGGUGCUUUCAAAUUGGUAGCUUUUAAUAUAUAAUUCAUGGAGUUUUAAUAUGAUGUUUGUUUUUAACAUUUGUAAAUUUAUAGGGUAAAUAUUGUUUAUAUUUAUGUAUAUAAUUGUAAAUAUUGAUAUCUGAAUGCUGUCAAAUGAGUCAUAGAAACUUUUUAAGCUGCUGUUCUCAAAAGGGCACUGUGAAACAAUCUCUGGCGCAGAGUUCAUAUCUGUUCCAUACAUGCUCUGCAAUACUACACUACAUAUAUUCAGAUUCAAAUAAUUCCUUGUUUUUACAUCAUCCUGUUUGUUUGGCUCUGUUGGCUACUUUUUUUACAUUAAGGUAACAUUUUAAAACCGGUUGGCUAUUGCAAAAUGACUAUAAAAUUUCUUAACAAUAAUAAGUUCCUCUGCUUAAAUUUAGAUUUUGAGAUCUUUCAGCUGUGUAUAUUGUAUAUAUAUUUUUAUUUUAAACUAUUAUUUUCUCAGAAAGAUAUUCCAUUUAACUUAUUGUGAAUGAAAUUGAUGCAUAUAUUUUAUAAGAGCCUUUUAUAGUAUUGUUAAGAUUUACAUAAUGUCUUUCAUUCAUAUUAGAGUGGUUGGUGCUUGCACAAAGUCAGUGCAUGAGUCUUUCAUUAUUCUAUUGAUCUGUAUUGUUGUUAUUUAUCUUUAUCACUUAUUUACUAGGUGUUCACUUAUAACUCUUAUAGUAUUGUUAAAUUUACAGGUUGACAUUUCAUAAUUAACAUAGCAGUCAAAUUUAAAUAUAAAUAAAUAUAAGUAAGAAAAAAAUAUUUAAGGGGGCAUAAAUCAUUUUUUUUUUUGUAAUAUAGGAUUUUGCUAUAAAUAAACUUUAUCAUAUACUUAAUAGAAAAAUGAAAUACAGAAAUGGGGUCACCAUUCAUUUAAGCUCA